rnacentral:piRNA from 1 species
UAAGCACAGAGGAAAGGUCAUGGGAG